rnacentral:rRNA from 1 species
AGAGUUUGAUCCUGGCUCAGGACGAACGCUGGCGGCGUGCUUAACACAUGCAAGUCGAACGGUGACGGAGAGCUUGCUCUCCUGAUCUGUGGCGAACGGGUGAGUAACACGUGAGCAACCUACCCUUGACUCUGGGAUAACAGUUGGAAACAGCUGCUAAUACCGGAUACGACCCCAGCAGGCAUCUGCCGGGGUGGAAAGCUCCGACGGUCAAGGAUGGGCUCGCGGCCUAUCAGCUAGUUGGUGAGGUAACGGCUCACCAAGGCGUCGACGGGUAGCCGGCCUGAGAGGGCGACCGGCCACACUGGGACUGAGAUACGGCCCAGACUCCUACGGGAGGCAGCAGUGGGGAAUAUUGCGCAAUGGGCGAAAGCCUGACGCAGCAACGCCGCGUGCGGGAUGACGGCCUUCGGGUUGUAAGCCGCUUUCAGCAGGGACGAAGGGUCACCUGACGGUACCGC